UUNGACNCCGUUGUAUCCACCCACUGUAAACUGUGCCAGCCAGGCCUCAGCAGGGCAACCUAUCUAUACGAGCACCCUGCUGGGGCCAUGCCCCCUUCACCGAGAAAUCCACAGCCUGUGGGUUCAGGGGGGAGUACGGUCGCAAGGCUGAAACUUAAAGGAAUUGACGGAAUGGCACCACAAGGCGUGGAGUAUGCGGCUUAAUUUGACUCAACACGGGGAAUGUUACCAGGUCAGGACGCAGCUGGGAUGGACAGAUUGAGAGCUCUUUCUUGAUCCUGUGGAAGGUGGUGCAUGGCCGCUCCUGAUUGGUGGAGUGAUUUGUCUGGUUGAUUCCGAUAACGAGUGAGAUCUCUGCCUCCUACUAGACCCUGGCUCGCAACUGGUAGGGUCUGGCCAGGUGGGUCCAACGGCUGGGGAACCUCAGGGUGUGGUGGCUCCGNCUNCUGCCCCCUGCCCCAGCUGCCCCUGGCUGCCCAAGAGCCCUUGGGUGUAAUGCUUCUUUAGGUGCUGUGUCCGUCUGCCAAGGGCAAGCAUGCUAGAGCCAACAGCAGGUCUGUGAUGCUCCCAGAUGUCCUGGGCCGCACGCGCACUACAUUGCUCCAGUGAGGGUGUGUCCGCCCGACCCCGUUCGGGCCCUGGCCGGAGGCGGCCGGGAAACCCUGCAAGCCUGGAUCGUACUGGGGAUAGAUGAUUGCAACUGUCUGCCUUGAACGUGGAAUGCCUAGUAAGGGCCGGUCAUCAGCCGGCCCUGAUUGUGUCCCUGCCAUUUGUACACACCGCCCGUCGUUGCUACCGAUGGCAGCUGGAUAGAGCCCCCGGGAGGCCCUCGGCGACCCCUCGCGGGGGACCCCUGGGCCGAAACUGGGCGAUGUCCUGCUGCUAGAGGAAGCAAAAGUCGUAACAAGGUUG
rnacentral:rRNA from 1 species